UGAUUAAUGUGCACGAUCUUAGAGAACUUUAAGAUCCAUCUCCAAGGGGUCAGUAGCUUGAAUUUCAUAAUGUACACCAUCAAGAUCAUGCUUAAAGUUCUAAGGACUUUUUUCUUGUGAAUUAGACUGAUGAUUCUCUUUUUUCGAAUACUUUAUGCUUCUGAUCCUUCACUGUAUUUUGACUAAAUGAACUAAUUUGAUUUUUUGACCAAAUGAACUAAAAAUACAAGAGAAAAGUUGUUAAGUGUCAGAAAAUGAGAAUAAAAGCUAAGGGUUAGAACUCUCAGAAGCGAGAUUUAUUAGUGGCUUGCUGAAUGAGCUAGUCAGAGAUUUAUUUUGCCGUCCUUGUUUCUGUUAUUUUUGAAAUAAAUUAUCUUGCGGUGUUAUAUAUAGUACAAGAUGAAUUAUCGAAGCAAAUGAGCAAGGGAAAUACUUGCUGCCACAACUAAGUCACAAGAUCCACAAUCAUCACAGUCACCAAAUACAACUACAUCUAAGUUGCAUGAUCCACUAUCAUCUAUAAGUGAAUUUGCUUCCAAACCAACCAAAAAACAAGUUGUUCUGUCACCACCAGCUGAGGUUCUUAAGAAUGAUAAGUGGGGGCCAUUUUCUUCACUUGAUACAACUACAAAAUGUGCACAACCACCACCUAACAGACUAGGAUCUAUUUGGAAAAAACCUCCACCUAAUGUACCAAAUUCAAAGAAACUCAACUCCCUUAACAACCACUUCAGCAUCCUCAACCUGGGAAGGGAGGUUCUCAGAACCUUGGUACUAGUGCUGUGAAAACUUCGGCAGCAACUCCUAUUUCUCACCAACCACUUCAGCAUCCUCAACUUGGGAAGGGAGGUUCUAAGAAAACUUCAGCAGCAACUCCACAAUUUAAUCAAACACAUUAAAAAAGUGUUGAAACUUCCAAUGAUAUCCAGAAAAAAACUAAGUCUCUACGACCAAAGUCACUUCCCGAUUGGCCUGUAGACAUAGAUUUUGAUGAUAAGGAGGAGGUUCUGACCAUAGGUAAUCUUUUUACCUUCAUUAUUUUUUUUACUUUAUCAUUGAGAUUCUGUUUGUGGUUACAUAAAAUAGAUGAUUAUUAGUUGCAUGGUGUUAGUUAAAAGCAAAAUUAGUUCUUCAAGAGCCCUAAAUGAUGUUUUCCAAUUAGUAAACUAAUGGUUUUUUAUUUUUAUUGUUUUUAUAGACGCCAAUGGUAAUACUACAUUGGUGAGUGGUAUAAUUCUUCCAUUUGACGUUUGGAGCAAUAGUGACGUCAAGUACUAUGUUGAAUUCAAUGAUAUAUGCCAACCGAUUAGGAAAGGUGGACAUAUAUUUGUAUGAUGGCAAAGAUGGAGACUCAUUGUCCAGUUGGAGAAAAAAAUUGGCAUGCAAUCGACGGCCAUAUAAAAGGAAGGAUAGUUACGGAUAUGAGAAUUGUCUUAUUAAUUAGGACCACUUUGUGAUUCAAUGGUGUGGAAUAUGACAACCAAGCUCUCAAGCGUGCCAAUAAAGCUUGGAGACAGUUCAGAUUCUUUUUAAAAAACCGCAUUACAAGCCAUAUGAGAAAACAGUGGAAGAGAUGUGUAAUCAGGAACUACCACAUGGAAUAAGCAGGAAUAAUUGGGUCAAGUUGGUGAAGUACUGGGAUUAAGAGAAAGCGAAAGAAGAUGAACAUGGAGAAAAAAUGAGCUUAUUAUCUCUUUGGAUAAAAGCUCAUACAGGUAAGGACGGAAGCUUUCUUCCCGACACUGUCACUACAGACUUUGUGAUAUGAUUCCUGACAUAGUCACUGUAGAAAUUAUGAAUUAAUAAAGUUCAUGUCAUUGCUCUUGUUGUUGGUUAUGCUAGAUGGUCUGCUAAAUGUGUGGCUCUGUUUUUAAUCCCCGUGUUCAUUACUUAAACUUGGUACAGGAUGAUGUAAACGCUAAGGUUGAAGAGUUGAGGAUGUUGUAUCCUAAAAAGUCACAACAAGAGCUCGAAGAUGAAGCUUUUCACUAUACCAUGUAUAGCAAUGAGAUUCCGGAUCGUCCUUUAGGUUACGGACUAGGGGUAAAAAAGGGCGACAUUUACGGGGUGCGUGGUUUCUUAAGGAAGAAAGUUUAUGGAAAAGUUCAAAGGAGGAUAAAUUUAAUGGACAAUGUCAAGGAAGAAGUGUCUGCUUUGCACGAAAAAAAUGAUACACUUGAAUAGGAAAAUGAAAAGCUAAAAGAUAAGGUCGAACAAAAUAAUUUACUUCUUAAAACGCUUGUUGGACAGUUUUCUGAUAUUGUGGGUGCAGUUCGUUAGGGGAAUGCUUCUCCGGAUCUUCUUAACAAGACAUCUCAAUUCUUGGGUUUGGCAAACCAACAGAGCUAACUGGACCCCCAUUGUGGCUGAAGUGAAAGCAGUAGCCAUGGCCAUCAGACUGGCCAAGCGUUUUGGGCUAGCUGACAUUGUCAUAGAAUCGGACAGCCAGACUCACAUGGGCAUCAGACUGUCGAAGGCAGUAGACAUGGGCAUCAGACUGUCGAAGGCUGCAGUCUAAUUCACUGAUCCUUUCACAUAUUAUUUACAGCAGCUGGGUUAAUUUGAGUUAUAUAUUGUUUCUAGGAUUUUAAUGUGUUUUAUUCCAACUGGGUUUUCGAAGUUUAGUCAUAAUUGCAUUGACUUUCAGUCAUAAAGUUUAUAAAAAAGCUAAGUUCAUCAGUAUGUCUUUUGUUUUUUUUUUUUUUUUUUUUUUGAAGGAAAAGUUCAUCAUCAGUAUGUUUAAUAUUUAUAUAUAUAUAUAUGUACUAAUUACUUUUUAAUUUUAUCUUGAAGGUUGGAAAAGAUAAUUUGAUGAAUACAGGAGAAUGAAUUAGGGCGGAUAUUUGAGCAUUAAAAAACUAGCGACUACCAAGAUAUCACCCAUCAUCAUCAUCAUCAUCAUCGGUUUAUCAAGUGCAACUAAUUGGUGUUUUUAGUCUUUGUGUUAUUAUUAUUAUUAUUUUUUAUUUGAGGCUAAUUAAAGUUUUUGUUUUUGACGAUUAUGUUGUUGAUGUUUUUUUUUUUUUGUAAUUAUUUUGUUGGAUAGUUUAAUUAACUAUGAACAAAUUACAAUGUUGACCAAUCGCUAGCUAGCUAGCUUUAUCUUUUUAGUAUAUAUAUAUUUAUCAUUAUG